CUAAAACAAUAUAUCAAGCAACAUAGUGCUUUCGAGCCUUUCGAGCUGAGAGUCUGGGAAAUAUCUAAAAGAUGGCAUCGAUUCGAAAUAAAGUUGCAGUGUUGCUGUUAUAUGUUGUGUUGACUGACAGCCGUAGGAAUGCAUCAAAGAAUUGUACGAAUGAUACAAAAUAAUUGAUCAAACCAAAAAUUUAUAUUGAAAACGACACAGAGGUGUUCUCAUUUGAUGAAGGAAAGAAUUUGACGUUUCUACAACGUAACGUCUUAUCCUGCUGCCGACAUCUUUUGGUGGCGUUUAAAAUAUGAUGGAUCCAACGAGCAGAUUGUAACAAGUUGUUCUGCGGCUGAGCAACAUUGCAAAUAUCAUGACGGAAAAAAAAUUACAAGAAACAAAUUUGAAGUAAAGUCUGUCAGAUUCCCUGAUGAUAAUAUAACCUACAAGAUCAAUGUAAGCAAUAUGAAAGGAUAUGAGAUCAAGAAUAUUUCAAUACAAAUUCUCGGUUAGUCCUGUUCGAAAAAGUAUUUGAGUUAAGCCUAGCAUUGAAAUUUGAAACGAAAAUAUAGUUUUGAAGAAAGGAUUUUCGGUGUUGAAAUGUACAUUAAACCAGAGACAUUACCCAAAAGAAGUAACCUUCAAAUGGUUCAUCUGCAUAUCUGAUACCUGCUACGACGACAAACAUUGGAAAUACAUUUCAUUCAACUAUUCUUUAAAAGUACAAAAUGAGGGCAGGUACCGCUGCAGUGCAUGCAAUACAGGUGGAACAGCUAUAUCGCCAACAAUAAACGUCGUCAGGGAUAUGUC